rnacentral:lncRNA from 1 species
CUAGUUUCGCCACUGGGUCAAUAGGCUCAUCGACAAUAGACUCAACCUCACGAGCUUGACCUUGUUGUUGAUUACGACGACUAAAGCCAAUAGGUGGGUCGGGUAAGGUUAGAUGUGGGACGAGCUCAACAUAAAAUGUCGAACGUGCUUACGCUCGAGCUCGCUAAUUCUAAAUUUGGCAACUACUUGAUGUCGGGUGUCCUUAGCAUAACUGGAUAUUGGUCUUUGGGAUAAAAGAAUGGUAAUCUAUUAGCCCUAAACCAAAUCAUGUAAGGCAGAUUCGUGUCGAUCUGAUACUCCUAGACUGGCCCUCAAGUGAUGACAAAUUCGUGAUGCAUGUGCCACUUUACGAUCCACUAUCGACGUUCAUUGGC